rnacentral:rRNA from 1 species
GGCGAACGCUGGCGGCGUGCUUAACACAUGCAAGUCGAACGGUGAACUCCGCUUGCGGGGGGAUCAGUGGCGAACGGGUGAGUAACACGUGGGCAACCUGCCCUCAGCUCUGGGAUAACUCCAAGAAAUUGGGGCUAAUACCGGAUAUGACCGCUGACCGCAUGGUCUGGUGGUGGAAAGAUUUAUCGGCUGGGGAUGGGCCCGCGGCCUAUCAGCUUGUUGGUGGGGUAGUGGCCUACCAAGGCGACGACGGGUAGCCGGCCUGAGAGGGUGACCGGCCACACUGGGACUGAGACACGGCCCAGACUCCUACGGGAGGCAGCAGUGGGGAAUAUUGCGCAAUGGGCGAAAGCCUGACGCAGCGACGCCGCGUGGGGGAUGACGGCCUUCGGGUUGUAAACCUCUUUCAGCAGGGACGAAGCGAAAGUGACGGUACCUGCAGAAGAAGCACCGGCCAACUACGUG